rnacentral:rRNA from 1 species
AUUGAACGCUGGCGGCAUGGCUAAAACAUGCAAGUCGAACGCGAAAGGGAGCAAUCCCAAGUAGAGUGGCGAAAGGGUGAGUAAUACGUUCCUACGUGCCUUGAGGUCAGGGAUAGCCAGGGGAAACUCUGGGUAAUACCUGAUGUGGUCGCAAGAUCAAAGGCUUGCCGCCUCGAGAGCGGGGAACGUCCUAUCAGGUAGUUGGUGAGGUAACGGCUCACCAAGCCUUAGACGGGUAGCAGGUGUGAGAGCACGGCCUGCCACAUCGGAACUGAGACACUGUCCGGACUCCGUACGGGAGGCUGCAGUAACGAAUCUUCCGCAAUGCGCGAAAGCGUGACGGAGCAAUGCCGCGUGCAGGAUGAACGCCCC